UACGAAGGGGGCUAGCGUUGUUCGGAAUCACUGGGCGUAAAGCGCACGUAGGCGGACUUUCAAGUCAGGGGUGAAAUCCCGGGGCUCAACCUCGGAAUUGCCUUUGAUACUGUAGGUCUCGAGUCCGGAAGAGGUGGGUGGAAUUCCUAGUGUAGAGGUGAAAUUCGUAGAUAUUAGGAAGAACACCGGUGGCGAAGGCGGCCCACUGGUCCGGUACUGACGCUGAGGUGCGAAAGCGUGGGGAGCAAACAGGA
rnacentral:rRNA from 1 species